rnacentral:rRNA from 1 species
CCUACGGGUGGCAGCAGUGGGGAAUAUUGGGCAAUGGAGGCAACUCUGACCCAGCAAUGCCGCGUGAGUGAUGAAGGUAAUUUUAUUGUAAAGCUCUUUUCUUUGGAACGAAUAAAUGAUGGUACCAAAGGAAUAAGCCCCGGCUAACUACGUGCCAGCAGCCGCGGUAAUACGUAGGGGGCAAGCGUUGUUCGGAAUGACUGGGCGUAAAGGGUGUGUAGGUGGUUUGAUAAGUUAGAUGUGUAAUACCCAGGGCUUAACUCGGGUGCUGCAUCUAAAACUGUUAGACUUGAGUACUGGAGAGGAUAGUGGAAUUCCUAGUGUAGCGGUGGAAUGCGUAGAGAUUAGGAAGAACACCGGUGGCGAAGGCGGCUCACUGGACUGUAACUGACGCUGAGGCUCGAAAGCGUGGGGAGCAAACAGGAUUAGAUACCCUAGUAGUC